UAAUCUUGUGUUUGAGCUGGGAGCAGCAGCCCACGAGGGAAAGCGUUUGUCCAAAUCAAGUGCCUAGUGCCUUGUGUCUCGUGGCAGCCCAUUAAG